GGAUAUGAACUUAAUUCAUCCUGGGGCUCCGUACUUACCCCAAAAAGUCCAUAUCUGGAGGCGGUGCUUCUGCGCACACGCAAAGCACGCAGAGUGAUUCUGUGCAUGCGCGCGCGGUGAAACCUGGAAGUAUACACUUCUGGGUUUGCCGCGUUUGUAACUCAAAAUUACGUUACCAUAUACGGUACCUCGGGUAACAUAUCCUGAGGUACCACUGUAUAUUUAUUUUGUGUAGAGAGGAGUAGUUAGGGGUAAGUGUAGGGUUAGGGCAGGGGUUGGGCUUAGGCUUAGGCUAAGUGCUGGGGGUGGGGUCAGAGUCAGGCUUUGGCGGGCAUUUUAGAUAGUUAGCUAGUUUAGAGAGGGGGUGGAAUUUUCCGUGAACAAAAUGUGCAGACUGUAAGUAGCAUUCCUUUGCUUUCUCUUGGUCUCCUGGGGGGCGGGGGGCAAGUCCUGGGGUCCCCUGCACAGCCUUGGCUCUCUGGAAAUCAACCCGGCCAGUCUUCUCCGGAGAGCUCAGCUCCUCCACACUGUUCCCCUGUCUUCCCCUUUUCUCUCCCCUCUCAUCAUUUACAUUUACUAGGACAUUCCUAGCCCACUUUCCUCCCAGGAGCUCAAGGUGGCCUUCAUGGUUCUCCCAGCCACCAAUUGUUAUCUUCACAGCAGCCCUGCCAAGUAGGCUAGGCUGGCCUAAGGUCCACCAGGGAGCUUCAUGGCCGAGUGGGGAUUCGAACCCUGCUCUCCCAGGUCCUCCUAGUCCAGCCCUCCAACUACACCUCUGCCUGGCUCCAUUUUGCAUCUCUUCAGCUGCCCUACGACCUCAGCCUUCUCCCCCUUCCUGGGGGGUCUCUCUGGCUCCAAGGAAGACUCCACCACCUUCCUCAUGUUCUGCUCCUCUUCUGGGACACCUUGAUGCUUGGAGGCCCCUCCUAGGGGUCGCCUCCCUCUCUAGGAAGGGCAGGGCUGUCCUAAGAAGAUGAGGCAGAGCAGCCCUUAAACAGCUGGCAAUGCUUCUCUUUCCUUUGGGCUGGAGCUCUUGAACCCAUAGCACUUGGGGCCUCCUUUCUCUCUCUGCCAGCCCUUUGUGGUCUGGGCUGCCUCUUUCCUAGUGAUGCCCUUUCAGGUGAUGCCCUUUCAGGUCACUGAACUGCAGAGAGAUGGAAGGAAUUGGGCCAUAUGGCCCUCCUCACACACAAACAUCCCCCAAGAAUUGGGGCUGCCGGCUUCUGAGUCGCUCUCGUCUUGUCUCUUCUAGGUUCAGGUGCUUAAGACGCAGCAACAGGGUGGCCCCCCCUGCAAGGCCCAGAGCAGUCCAUGGUGUCAGGUGAGCAAGUGGUCUCCUUUUUGGGACAGAAGAGGGCAGGAAUGAGCUGGGGGGAGGGCAGCUAGUCCAAAGAUGUACAGAGCCAGAUGGCUGGAUCAACCCACAGUCCAUCUGGGCCAGCAUCUGGAAACCCAACCCCCCUAGCGACCAAUGUGGGGCCCGAUGGAGGAAGCAGGGUGCUGGGCUGCGGGGCAAGGCAGGGGAGGGGGCAGCUGUCAGUGGGAGGGGCACCUUCCCUGGGGAGCCAUGUUCUGGGGAGAAGGCCAGGAUUGGCCCCUAAAGCCUGGGGUGUCCCUCCCCUGUAGUAGGACUUGGAAUACAAGAGAAAACUCUUAGGAUAGCCUUGCCAGUGGCUCUGGGACGAACUCACCUGUCCCAUGUUCUUCUCUUUGCGGAUGUGCUGGGGUUCCACAUCCCUUCCCUAGGGGUGAGUAUAGGAUAAAAUGAGAGCAGGGAGUGGAUCCCUCAGACCUGCCCCCCACUGCACUCUGCGCUCUCAGAUGCGGAGGAGCGCCCCUCCCCCCCCCCGGAACUGACAGCCUGACUUUUGCAUUUUACCUGCUGGAGGAAGAUCAGCUAUACCUCCAGAACUGCCAGGCAGCUUGGCUCAGGGGCUCUGAACCCUGAAGUGCUCCAAGCAUUUUUUGCUGCUGCAUCACUCUCAGGUUGACUCAUGUUCAGCUUGUGGUCCACCAAGACCCCUAGAUCCUUUUCCCAUGUACUACUAGCAAACCAGGUAUCCCUCAUCUUAUAUUGGUGCAGAACCUUAGAUUAGUCCCUAUUGAAUUUCUUUUUGCUUUUGGUCAUUUAUGAUUAAGUUAUUACACAAAAAAAUGGAAUUAGGAGUCAUAUUCAUAAAAGGAAUUAAGGCAAUUUAUACAGAUCAAACUGCAAACCUGAUUGUAAAUAAUGCCAUUACAGGAAAAAUGUAAGAUACAGAAGGGGACAAGGCAAGGAUCCCCCCUAUCACUGCUUCUUCUUCUUCUUCUUCUUAAAAAAAAUAAAAUAUUUUUAUUAACCAAUUUCCACAUAACAAUUUACCAAUCCUCUUAAUCAGUUACAUUAUUUCCCCCCCUUUCCCCCUCCCCUCCCUCUCCCCCCCACCAAGGACUUCCCUCAGCUCCCCUCCCUGAUUUCUUUACAUAUAUUGUUUUCUGCAUGUUGUAAAAUUGUACAUAUCCUUACUUUAUCUAUCACAUGUUCAGCUAAUAAAUUUGUGAAUGUUUAUUCAAAACUUGCCAAAGAGUCCAAUUCAUUUUGUUGUCUUUUUAUAUAGUUUGUAAAAAGUUACCAUUCUUCCUUGAAGUCACAGUUGUCCUUUUCACGCAGUUUAUAUUUGGCCAAUUCCGCAUAGCUCAUCAAUUUUUCUUGCCACAGUUCUUUUGAUGGUAUUUCCUCAUUCUUCCAUCGUUGUGCUAACAAGACUCUUGCUGCUGUUGUAGCAUACAUAAAUAAGUUCUUUACUUUUCUUAGCAAGUCUUGUCCUACAAUCCCUAACAAAAAUGCUUCUGUUUUUUUUUUUACAAAUGUCAAUUUAAACAUUUUUUUCAAUUCAUUAUAUAUCAUUUCCCAAGGUUUUUUUUAAACUUCCCUACAUUCCCACCACAUAUGAUAAAAAGUCCCUUCUUUUUCUUUACAUUUCCAACAUGUGAUUGACCCAGUUUUAUACAUUUUUGCUAUCUGUACUGGUGCUAUAUACCAUCUAUACAUCAUUUUCAUGUAAUUUUAUUUCAAAAGAGAACAGUUUGUAAAUUUUAAAUCUAUUUUUCACAGUUUCCCCAGUCCUCAAAUUGUACAUUAUGUCCUAUAUCUUGUGCCUAUUUGAUCAUGACCGAUUUGACCUCCUCAUCUUUUGUCUCCAGUUCUAGCAAGAUACUAUAUGCUUUCUUCAGCAUUUUCACUUCUUCUUCUAUAACUUCCUUUUGAAAUGUAGAAGUUGUGUAACUAAACCCUUUCUUGUUGUCUUCCUUGUACAUCUCAUGUAAUUGUCUGUAGUGUAACCAACUUUGAAAAUGAUAUAUUUCCUCAUAAUCUUUUAAUUUCCAUUUUCCUUCUUGGUCUUUCAGCAAAUCUCUCUCUAUAUGUAGGCCACUUCCCCUUUGUGCCAAGUGGUUUGAGUAACGAAGCUUCAAUUGGUGAUAACGACCAAGGUGUUUUUUGUUCUAUUAAAUCUUUGUAUCUCUCCCACAACCUCAUUAGUGAUCUCCUGAUUAUAUGGUUGUAAAAUCCUUUGUGCACUUUCCCUUUCCCAUACCAUAAGUAUGCAUGCCAUCCAAAUCUAUUAUCAUGACCUUCCAAAUCUAACGCUUCUUCCUAUUCCAGUUUUAUCCAGUCCCUAAUCCACACCAAACAUGCAUCCUCAUAACACAGUUUGAGGUCUGGGCGGGCAAAACUGCCUCUUUCUUUUAUAUCUGCAUCUUAUGUUUAAUCCUUGGCCUUUUGCCCCCCCCCCCCCGCCAGACAAACUUAGAAAUAUCCGUCUGCCAUCUUUUGAGGCAAUCAUCUUUUACCAUUACUGGACCCCUUAUCACUGCUUCAAUCAUGUAUCAGUCCUAGAGGUGUUGAUGCGGAGGGUAAGAAAUAAUUCUGACAUAAAGGGGAUAUGGAUGGGCCAACGGAAUUAUAAGGUAAAAGCGUUUGCAAGUGAUGUGGUGUUUUCUGUAGAAGAACCAUUGACAAGUGUACCUAAGUUAUUGGAGGAAACAAGGAAAUAUGGAUGUGGGUGGCACAGAAGGACGCAGGUGGUGCUGUGGGUUAAACCACAGAGCCUAGGACUUGCCGAUCAGAAGGUCGGCGGUUCGAAUCCCCACGACGGGGUGAGCUCCUGUUGCUCGGUCCCUGCUCCUGCCAACCUAGCAGUUUGAAAGCACGUCAAAGUGCAAGUAGAUAAAUAGGUACCGCUCUGGUGGGAAGGUAAACGGCGUUUCUGUGUGCUGCUCUGGUUCGCCAGAAGCAGCUUAGUCCUGCUGGCCACAUGACCUGGAAGCUGUACGCCGGCUCCCUCGGCCAAUAAAGCGAGAUGAGCGCCGCAACCUCAGAGUCGGCCACGACUGGACCUAAUGGUCAGGGGUCCCUUUACCUUUAAGGAAAUAUGGAGAAGUUGCAGGUCUUAAAACAAAUAAAACUAAAACUAAGGUUUUAGUGAAAAAUAUGGAUGCACAGGCAAAAAAAGGUUGGCAGAUGGCCAGUGGGCUGACAACUGAGAAAAAGGUGAAGUAUUUGGAAAUAUGAUUAACAGUGAAAAACUCCAAUAUAUUUCAAAAUAGUUAUGUAAAGACAUGGAAAGAUGUAAGAAAAAAUAUUGAAUUAUGGGGAAGAAUGAAACUCUCUCUAAUAGGCAGAGUUUUGGUUAUAGAAAUGAAUAUUUUGCCUAAAAUGCUAUUUUUAUUUCAAACGGCUCCAAUAGUAGGCAUAACAAGAUGCUUCAAAGAAUGGCAAAAAUAUAUUUCUAGGUUUGUCUGGCAGGGAAGAAACCGAG